GCCCAGAGCGGUGGCAUGUGCCUAUAGUCCCAGCUACUCGGGAGGCUGAGGUGGGAGGAUCGCUUCAGCCCAGGAGUUCUGGGCUGUAGUGCGCUCUGCCGAUCGGGUGUCUGAACUAAGUUUGGCAUCAAUAGGUGACCUCCCGGGAGGGGGGGACCACCAGGUUGCCUAAGGAGGGGUGAACUGGCCCAGGUCGGAAACGGAGCAGGUCAAAACUCCCGUGCUGAUCAGUAGUGGGAUCGCGCCUGUGAAUAGCCACAGCACUCCAGCCUGGGCAACAUAGCGAGACUCCCUUA
rnacentral:SRP_RNA from 1 species